rnacentral:lncRNA from 1 species
UCAACCCAUCAAUGAUUCCAACACGAUCUAUAAAAAGUCGACCAAUGUACUUCGAAGUACAGUGUUUCCGCUGAGCGAUUCCGUCUGUGAUGGAACAUGUAUAUGUUUCCACAUACUUGGUUACCCAAAACGUUUUAGUCCCAUGUUUCACACUUGCUCUGACCUUCCAUUGACAACCACUAACACGACAUGUUGCCACAAAGAGAGUUUUUGUUGACUUGUAUAUUCUGAAGGAGAACCUACGCCUCACCGCUGUGAACCGCAACUCUGAAAGCAGUGCAUCCCUACUAGCAAAACUCUUGUUGACAUAGAUUCUGUCUGCAGAUGAUCCUUUUCCUUCACAACCAUAUGCCCCUUUGUAAUCUUCAAAACAGAUUUCAUCAUCUUCUUCCUCAUCCUCGUCUUUAACCUUUCCACACUCACUAUAAUCCUCAGCAUCAGCGACAAUAGGGAUCUCAGCAUCCUCCUCCCCAUCAUGAUCCUUAGCUUCAACCCCUCCUCAGUUUCAUCUCCCUCCU